rnacentral:rRNA from 1 species
AUUGAACGCUGGCGGCAUGCUUUACACAUGCAAGUCGAACGGCAGCGCGGGCUUCGGCCUGGCGGCGAGUGGCGAACGGGUGAGUAAUGCAUCGGAACGUGCCCAGUAGUGGGGGAUAGCCCGGCGAAAGCCGGAUUAAUACCGCAUACGACCUGAGGGUGAAAGCGGGGGACCGAAAGGCCUCGCGCUAUUGGAGCGGCCGAUGUCGGAUUAGCUAGUUGGUGGGGUAAAGGCUUACCAAGGCGACGAUCCGUAGCUGGUCUGAGAGGACGACCAGCCACCGGGGGCCUGAGACACGCCCAGGCCCCCACGGGGGGCCGGCAGGGGGGAUUUUGGAAGAAGGGGGGCAACCGUGACCCAGCUUUGCCGCGGGAGGAAAGAAGCCCUUCGGGUUCAAACCGGUUUUGUUGGGGGAAGAAAUCCGCGGGCCUAAUCCCCGGGGGGGAGGAGGGACCGGAAAAAAAAGAACCGGCCAAACUCCGGC